ACAGGGUAGAGCUCAAGGGGUAGAGCACGUGCUUAGCAUGCACGAGGUCCCGGGUUUAAUCCCCAGUCCCUCUG
rnacentral:tRNA from 1 species